rnacentral:rRNA from 1 species
AGUGGGGGGUAGUAAUUGCCUGUUGUAGCGGUGAAAUGCGUAGAGAUCCGGAGGAAUACCUGUCGCGAAGGCGCCCCCCUGGACGAAGACUGACUCUCAGGUGGGAAAGCGUGGGGGAGCAAACAGGAUUAGAUACCCCCGUAGUUCUCGCGCGUAAAUCGAUGUUGUCUUGGAGGUUGUACCCUCGAGGAGUUACUUCCCUCAGGAAANACCUUAACUUAGUCCACCUCGCGGGGAGUCCCGCAUCAAGGAUAAUAAUUAAAUGACGAGGGGGGGCACCCCACAAGCGGCGGAGCAUGUGUUCUAUUUUGAUGCAACGCGAAGAACCUUACGUGGUCUCGACAUCCACAGAAGUUUUCAGAGAUGAGAUUGUCCCUUCGGGAACUGUGAGACAGGUGCUGCAUGGCUGUCGUCAGUUCGUGUUGUGAAAUGUUGGGUUAAGUCCCGCAACGAGCGCAACCCUUAUCCUUUGUUGCCAGCGGUCCGGCCGGGAACUCAAAGGAGACUGCCAGUGAUAAACUGGAGGAAGGUGGGGAUGACGUCAAGUCAUCAUGGCCCUUACGACCAGGGCUACACACGUGCUACAAUGGCGCAUACAAAGAGAAGCGACCUCGCGAGAGCAAGCGGACCUCAUAAAGUGCGUCGUAGUCCGGAUUGGAGUCUGCAACUCGACUCCAUGAAGUCGGAAUCGCUAGUAAUCGUGGAUCAGAAUGCCACGGUGAAUACGUUCCCGGGCCUUGUACACACC